ACAAAAUGACUCUCGGCAACGGAUAUCUCGGCUCUUGCAUCGAUGAAGAACGUAGCGAAAUGCGAUACUUGGUGUGAAUUGCAGAAUCCCGUGAACCAUCGAGUCUUUGAACGCAAGUUGCGCCUGAAGCCAUUAGGCUGAGGGCACGCCUGCCUGGGUGUCACAC
rnacentral:rRNA from 4 species